rnacentral:rRNA from 1 species
UACGUAGGCAGCGAGCGUUGUUCGGAGUUACUGGGCGUAAAGGGUGUGUAGGCGGUUCUCUAAGUUUGGUGUGAAAUCUCCCGGCUCAACCGGGAGGGUGCGCCGAAAACUGGGGGACUAGAGUGCGGGAUGGGAGAGUAGAAUUCCUGGUGUAGCGGUGAAAUGCGUAGAUAUCAGGAGGAAUACCGGUGGUGUAGACGGCUCUCUGGACCGCAACUGACGCUGAGACACGAAAGCGUAGGUAGCAAACAGG